rnacentral:rRNA from 1 species
CCGUAGCCCAAGAGAUCGGGAUAACACCUGGAAACAGAUGCUAAUACCGGAUAACAACAGAUGAUGCCUAUCAACUGUUUAAAAGAUGGUUCUGCUAUCACUCUUGGAUGGACCUGCGGUGCAUUAGCUAGUUGGUAGGGUAACGGCCUGCCAAGGCGAUGAUGCAUAGCCGAGUUGAGAGACUGAUCGGCCACAUUGGGACUGAGACACGGCCCAAACUCCUACGGGAGGCAGCAGCC